rnacentral:rRNA from 1 species
CUACGUAGGGUGCGAGCGUUAAUCGGAAUUACUGGGCGUAAAGCGUGCGCAGGCGGUUAUAUAAGACAGAUGUGAAAUCCCCGGGCUCAACCUGGGACCUGCAUAUGUGACUGUAUAGCUAGAGUACGGUAGAGGGGGAUGGAAUUCCGCGUGUAGCAGUGAAAUGCGUAGAUAUGCGGAGGAACACCGAUGGCGAAGGCAAUCCCCUGGACCUGUACUGACGCUCAUGCACGAAAGCGUGGGGAGCAAACAGGAUUAGAUACCCUGGUAGUCCACGCCCUAAACGAUGUCAACUGGUUGUUGGGUCUUCACUGACUCAGUAACGAAGCUAACGCGUGAAGUUGACCGCCUGGGGAGUACGGCCGCAAGGUUGAAACUCAAAUGAAUUGACGGGG